ACUAUGCACCUAUUAACUCAUCAGAUCUGCAUCUCUAGAUUCAUCUCCUCUAUGCCAGGUAUUAUACCAGUCAACACUUUAUGUAUUUCAUCCUCAUGACAACUCCACAUGGUAAGAAUUAUUUUAUUCAUUUUACCAAUUAAAAACUGAAACUAAAUUAGAUAUGCAAUUUAAUUAAGAUUACAAAGCCAUGUGGGGUAGAUUUGAGAUUAGGUUUUUUAAUUGCAAGACUAAUACACUGUUUUUCCAUCUCACCCUGCUACCUCUAUUCUGUCUCCUCACCACUGGGGCUACCCAAGGCUUGGACAUGCUAUGUGUUAUUCCCUCCUGCAUCUAUCAUCUCAUAAGGCAGGAGUAUUUUUAGCAAUGCUUCUUGGUAUCAUGAAUGUUUAACUGGAGCCCAGAUAGUGCCCAGAUCUUUGUGCUUUCACCAUUUAGUGAUUCUAGUGGGAGGAAGUUC
rnacentral:lncRNA from 1 species